CAGCAGCCGCGGGAAUACGGAGGGUGCAAGCGUUAAUCGGAAUUACUGGGCGUAAAGCGCACGCAGGCGGUCUGACAAGUCAGAUGUGAAAUCCCCGGGCUUAACCUGGGAACUGCAUUUGAAACUGUCAGGCUGGAGUCUUGUAGAGGGGGGUGGAAUUCCAGGUGUAGCGGUGAAAUGCGUAGAGAUCUGGAGGAAUACCGGUGGCGAAGGCGGCCCCCUGGACAAAGACUGACGCUCAGGUGCGAAAGCGUGGGGAGCAAACAGGAUUAGAGACCCGCGUAGUCCCUGUCUCUUAUAA
rnacentral:rRNA from 1 species